CACGUAGGCGGAAAGAUGUGUCGGUCUUGAAAGCCCCGGCUCAACCGGGGAACUGGGUCCGAAACUGUCUUUCUUGAGGACGAGAGGGAGAGCGGAACUUCAGGUGGAGCGGUGAAAUGCGUAGAUAUCUGAAGGAACACCGAUGGCGAAAGCAGCUCUCUGGCUCGUAUCUGACGCUGAGGUGCGAAAGCGUGGGUAGCAAACG
rnacentral:rRNA from 1 species